AAAAAGAAUGAAUAAAUAAAUAAAUAAAAAAGAAGAUAGUCACAAAAAUGGAACUAGACUGGUUAUAUUUUUGUUACUUUAAACUUGAGAAUAAAAAAAGCUUAUGCCCUUUAAAAAAAAAGUCACAUACAAACACUAGAUUGAUUACACUUCCAUUACUUUAAACUUUAUGAUAAAAAUAAGUAAUCAAUAUGACUUAGCAAUGGUCUCACUGCCGCUAACAUGGGAAAUAAAGUUCUAAUAAUAAUAAUAAGUUCUGAUGACAACGCUAAUGACAUCACUUGAAUAAAAAGUCACACAUAAAAACUAGAUCAAUUAUUUUUUACUUUAAACUUUAUGAUGAAAAAAGAAAACAAUGUGACUUUUAAAUGAUGUCUACCAAGUGUAUGAGGGAAAUGGGGUAGAAGAAUUAACCAUUAGAUAGCGAUGUAACUAUAUGUAAACAAUGCAAAAUCCUGUCAGUCAGUUAUGUAUGGCAGAAAUAUAACAACACUUCCAGACUGUUCCGGUAGAAUCUAUAUAUAGACGAUAACUGAAACAUCUCUUAUAACUAUAUUCAUGCUACGGUCCUAAGGUCGGCAGUGACUAUAUAUAGAUCAUUAAUUUUUUGGGGCGCUACUCUUCAAAUACGGCUGCCAUCUAAGCGUUAAACAGAGUAAACAAAAUAAAUAGAUAGAGAGGACAAAGAGAGAGAGGAUGAGCAGGCAACUUUGAUCUCUAUCUGAUUAGCAAUGGUGCAGCAACGUGAGUCAAGAUAAGGCCUGGUGUAAAGUACUGGCCCAAGUCUGCUCUCAGUCACCCUGGGAAAUAAUGGUUGAUGUUCCUUGCUUGUUCUUGUUCUUCCCCUUGUUCUUCUUCUUCUUCUGUUAUUGGUACUAUUUUUCUUCUUUCUUUUUCUUUUUCUUUUCUGUUUCUUCUUCAUUUUCUUUUCCUUUUACUUCUUCUUGUUUUCUUCUUCUCCUUUAUUUUCUUGUUCUUGUUCUACUUCUUCUACUUUUACUUUAUUUCUUCUUCUUCUUCCUCUUCUUUUCCCUUUUCUUCUUCUUAUCAUCAUUAUCAUCAUCACCUUCAUCAUCAUCCUUCUUCUUAUUAUUAUUGAGAUCCACAAGAGGAUAUGAAGGGAUACUCAAAAACCCUACAUAUUACUAAUUGGUGGUCGCUAGAUAUGGGUUUAUUUAACAGUGUUCUAUCCUUCACUAUGUCUUUAUUUCCAGUAAAGAUAAAGCAAAGUACAUUAUUUCCUAUCCAUCAGGGGUUUAUCAGGUCCAUUUCCUGUUUGCUCUCUUCUGGGAAAAUUUAUUCAUGACUCUUGCCUUGUUUCUUUCUACAAGUUCACCAAGUUGUCACGGGUGUCUUGUUCCUAUUCUAAAAUGACCUGCUGCAGUUGGUAUACUUUGGCAUUAUAAUCCGUCCGCUGUGAUAGGUAGGGAUUUGUCUGUUACUGGUAGCCUGGUAACAUAUAUUCCCAGGUCUUUCUCUGCCUCUGUGGUGGAUAGUGGAGUGUUUCCCAUGUGAUAUUGGUAUGCUGGAUUUGGCCUUCACUGGUAGCCUGGUAACACACACUCCCAGGUCUUUCUCUGCCUCUGUGGUGGAAAGUGGAGUGUUUCCCAUGUGGUAUUGGUAUGCUGGAUUUGGCCUUCACUGGUAGCCUGGUAACACACUCCCAGGUCUUUCUCUGCCUCUGUGGUGGAUAGUAGAGUGUUUCCCAUGUAGUAUUAGUGCAGGACUUUACAGUUUUCUUCAUUGAAUUGUAGUAGCCACUUUUUGUUCCAUUCCUGUAGCUUGGUGAUGUCUCCUUGUGGGAAAUCUGCAGUCAAGGGGUUAAAGUGUCCCAAGACAACUGAGAACCUGGUUUUUGGCUCCUUCAUUGCUACUUCCACAUCCUCAAAAAACUUCCAUUUCAUUGUCACUGUGAGCUGAUCUUGGUGCAUAAGCUUGAAGUAAUGAAAUAUUCUAAGUGCAUUUCUCUUAUUCAGUUUGAUGAUGAUAUGUAUUGGCUAACAAUGAUUCCUACUACUCCUUCGCUGAUGCUGCAAAAAUUUUCAACAUUACCUGUAAGAUUCUUGAUAAUUAAGAAUCCAACUCCAUGUACUACAUUCCUCUCUACAAGACGUUUGCAGCACAAGAAGUAUUAUACUGUUUUCAUCUUCAUAUCCUUACUAACAGACCACAGAGAUGAGAUAUAUGGUGGAACUCUUAUCUUGUUUUCAUCCUCAAAGCCUUACUGACAGACCACAAUGACAAGAUAACAAAUUCAUGGAACUGUCAUAGUGUUUUCAUCCUUUAAACAUUACUGAUAGACCACAAUGAGAUAACAUAUUGGUGGCACUGUCAUUUUGUUUUCAUUCUCUAAUCCUCACUGACAGACCACAGAACAAGAUAACAUAUUGAUGUCAGCAGCUGCCAUAAUGUUUCCAUCCAAGAUCUCUCUGGUAUUUUGUAAUCGUGAUGCCCCAAGCAACUGACACCCAACAUGAGGAUGGCAAAUAAAUUGUAAUCAUAAUAAUAAUCAUGACAACUACUACUAAUGCUACAUAUAAGAUCUCCCAGCUAUAUAGUACCUGUGAUGACCCAAGUAACUGUGAGAUCCCAUGUACCAUACUAACUAUGACACCCUUAUAUAACUGUGAUAUCCCAAGUAACUGUGACACCCCCCAAGUAACUGUGACACACCCCAAGUAACUGUAUCACCCCAAGUAACUGUCACUCUCCAAGUAGCUGUGAGACCUCAAGUAACUGUGACACACCCCAAUUACUAACUGUGACACCCCCCAAGUAACUGUGACACCCCUAGUAACUGUAUCACCCCAAGUAACUGUCACUCUCCAAGUAGCUGUGAGACCUCAAGUAACUGUGACACACCCCAAUUACUAACUGUGACACCCCUAGUAACUGUGACACCCCCCAAGUAACUGUGACACCCCCAAGUAACUGUGACAACCCCCAAGUAACUGUCACACACCCCAAGUACUAACUGUGACAUCCUAAGUACGUAAUUGUGCCACCCCAAGUAACUGUGACAAGCCCCAAGUAACUGUCACACACCCCAAGUACUAACUGUGGCACCCUUAACUAACUGUGACAACCUGAUUAACUGUGGCACUCCAACUAACAAUGGCAACCCAAGUAACAGUGCCACCCUUAGUAACUGUGACACACCCCAGGGAAAUGUCACCUAUUUUUACCCUCUUGUUAGUGGUGACAGUAGGAAAAUAUUGGUUGAGUAACACACACACACACACACACACACACACACACACACACACACACACACACACACACACACACAUUUUAUGGCUAUUUUUACACUUGUUUUGCUAUUGACACACUUUCCUACGGUUUAAUGAGGGGCUUGAAGGUUAAUGUAAGAUAUGCAUGACAGCACAAGAGUGAAUCAUCGGGUAGAAAGCGAGACAUGGACACAUAAAUAUACCUAACCAAGAUCAACCAGUUUUGACCACUAAGUGUGUGUGUGUGUGUGUGUGUGUGUGUGUCCCCAUGUGUCCCCGCUAGUGUUAGGUAGAUGUUGUUCCCAUGUAUCCCCGGUAGUGUUAGGUGUUCCCAUAUGUCCCAGCUAGUGUCAGGUGUUUCCAUGUGUCCCAGCUAGUGUCAGGUGUUCCCAUGUGUCCCAGCUAGUGUCAGGUGUUCCCAUGUGUCCCAGCUAGUGUCAGGUGUUCCCAUGUGUCCCAGCUAGUGUCAGGUGUUCCCAUGUGUCCCAGCUAGUGUCAGGUGUUCCCAUGUGUCCCAGCUAGUGUCAGGUGUUCCCAUGUGUCCCAGCUAGUGUCAGGUGUUCCCAUGUGUCCCAGCUAGUGUCAGGUGUUCCCAUGUGUCCCCGCCAAUGCCAGCUGUCUCCGUAUGUCGCCGCCAGUGCAAUGUGUCAUUUUGUGUCCCAGAGUGUCCGUGUCAGUGCCAUGAGUCCCCGAGAGUGUCAUGUGUUCCCGGGUGUCCUAGUGUCAUGUGUUCCCGUGUGUUCUAGAGCGUCAUGUGUUCCCGUGUGUCCUUGAGUGUCAGGUGUCAUUUUGUGUCCCCGUCAGUGCCAUGUGUCCCCGCCAGUGUCAUGUGUCCUCGCUAGUGCCAGGUGACCCCGUCAGUGCCAUGUGUCCCCGCCAGUGCCCGUGUCAGCU